UCCACUAUGGUUCAGUGGUUAAACUCCUCGCAACGUUCAGUUAACGAAUACAGAGUAUCGGAGGUUCGAUUCCUCUAGUGGCG